AUCUCAUGAUGUGGGCAUUGUGCUAACAAAUCCUCAAAUAUUUCCCAUGCUUCACCUAUUGAUUCAUUAGGAUAUUGCUUGAACUCCAUGAUCUUCUUAUGUAAUGCU
rnacentral:snoRNA from 1 species